rnacentral:RNase_P_RNA from 1 species
AGUAAGCCAGAUGGUCGCGCUUUUUUAAGUGAGGAAAGUCCGGGCUUCAUAGGGCAGGGUGCCAGUUAACGACUGGUGGAGGCGACUCUAAGGAUAGUGCAACAGAGAUAGACCGCCUAUAUUUUUAUAUGGGUAAGGAUGGAAAGGCGAGGUAAGAGCUCACCGCUUUUGUGGUAACACAAAAGGCUAUGUAAACCCCACCUGAAGCAAGGCCUAAUAGAGAAACAUAUAAGGGGCUGCCCGUCCCGUUUCGGGUAUGGCCGCAUGAUGACAUUGGCGACAAUGUACCAAGAUAGAUGACCGUUUAACACAGAACCCGGCUUAUAGACUUGCUCA